GACGAACGCUGGCGGCGUGCCUAACACAUGCAAGUCGAACGGAAAGGCCCUGCUUUUGUGGGUGCUCGAGUGGCGAACGGGUGAGUAACACGUGAGUAACCUGCCCUUGACUUUGGGAUAACUUCAGGAAACUGGGGCUAAUACCGGAUAGGAGCUCCUGCUGCAUGGUGGGGGUUGGAAAGUUUCGGCGGUUGGGGAUGGACUCGCGGCUUAUCAGCUUGUUGGUGGGGUAGUGGCUUACCAAGGCUUUGACGGGUAGCCGGCCUGAGAGGGUGACCGGCCACAUUGGGACUGAGAUACGGCCCAGACUCCUACGGGAGGCAGCAGUGGGGAAUAUUGCACAAUGGGCGGAAGCCUGAUGCAGCAACGCCGCGUGCGGGAUGACGGCCUUCGGGUUGUAAACCGCUUUCGCCUGUGACGAAGCGUGAGUGACGGUAAUGGGUAAAGAAGCACCGGCCAACUACGUG
rnacentral:rRNA from 1 species